UUGCCGUGAUGACUUUCUUAGGACACCUUUGGAUUCAACGUGAAAAGAAAUGCGUUUUCUGAGCGAU